UCUCUUUGCACCGGAAGCGAUUCAAGUAC
rnacentral:sRNA from 1 species